rnacentral:lncRNA from 1 species
UACAAAAAGGUUGAUUUUUCUUCUUUGGUUCCAAACCGCCCAGUUUCAAAACAGAGUAAUUCUAGUCUUGCAAAGUUUUGUAGACCUAUUACCAGUUUUGCUGCCUCGUGCUGCUUUUCUGUUUUUUGUUGUUAGAAGCGAAGGAUAAUGAUGUUUCAUCAGCAAAAAGUAUGGGUAAAUUUUCAGCAUUAUCAGCAAUAUCAUUAACAUACAGUAUAAAUAAUAAAGGACCUACAGUAGUACAAAUACAUGUGGUACACUAACGUGUAUAUUUCUUGGAUCUGAUAAGGCAAAAUUAACUUUGAUUAUUAUAUAUUACUGGAAAUUGAAUAGACUUUUAACUUUUGGACUAAUCCUGUAGGCCAAACAUGACCAAAAUCUUUAGAAUUAUGACAAGAACAGUGCGAAUACUUUUAUUUUUAUUUUCUGGAGC